AGAAUCAACGCUGGCGGCGUGCCUAACACAUGCAAGUCGAACGAGAAAGUGGAGCAAUCCAUGAGUAAAGUGGCGCACGGGUGAGUAACACGUGACUAACCUACCCUUGAGUGGGGAAUAACUGAGGGAAACCUUAGCUAAUACCGCAUAACACCUACGGGUCAAAGGAGCAAUUCGCUUAAGGAGGGGUCGCGGCCGAUUAGUUAGUUGGCGGGGUAAUGGCCCACCAAGACUAUGAUCGGUA
rnacentral:rRNA from 1 species